rnacentral:rRNA from 1 species
GGUCCAGACUCCUACGGGAGGCAGCAGUGGGGAAUCUUCCGCAAUGGGCGAAAGCCUGACGGAGCAACGCCGCGUGAUCGAAUGAAGGCCUUCGGGUUGUAAAGAUCUGUUGACAGGGACGAAUAAGCAAUGCGAAUAGUUUUGUGUAUGACGGUACCUGUUUAGAAAGCUCCGGCUAACUACGUGCCAGCAGCCGCGGUAAUACGUAGGGAGCAAGCGUUGUCCGGAUUUACUGGGUGUAAAGGGCGUGCAGCCGGGAAGACAAGUCAGAUGUGAAAUCCCGCGGCUCAACCGCGGAACUGCAUUUGAAACUGUUUUUCUUGAGUAUCGGAGAGGUAAUCGGAAUUCCUAGUGUAGCGGUGAAAUGCGU